rnacentral:rRNA from 1 species
AGAGUUUGAUCAUGGCUCAGGAUAAACGCUGGCGGCGCACAUAAGACAUGCAAGUUUUAACGGAAGUCGUUAUAAAAUGGAAAGAAGAAUUAUCGGAUUGAAAUUUUGUAACAAUGGCUUUAGUGGCGGACUGGUGAGUAACACGUAAGCAACCUGCCUAAUAGAGGGGGACAACAGUUAGAAAUGACUGCUAAUACCGCAUAUGCCAUAGAUACCACAUGGUAUCAGUGGGAAAGGAGAAAUCCGCUAAUAGAUGGGCUUACGGCUGAUUAGCUAGUUGGUGGGGUAAAGGCCUACCAAGGCGACGAUCAGUAGCCGGACUGAGAGGUUGAACGGCCACAUUGGGACUGAGAUACGGCCCAGACUCCUACGGGAGGCAGCAGUCGGGAAUUUUGCGCAAUGGAGGGAACUCUGACGCAGUGACGCCGCGUGCAGGAAGAAGGUUUUCGGAUUGUAAACUGCUUUAGACAGGGAAGAAAAAAGACAGUACCUGUAGAAUAAGCUCCGGCUAACUACGUGCCAGCAGCCGCGGUAAUACGUAGGGGAGCGAGCGUUAUCCGGAUUUAUUGGGUGUAAAGGGUGCGUAGACGGGGGAAAUAAGUUAGUUGUGAAAUUCCCUCUGCUUAACGGAGGAACUGCAACUAAAACUGUUUUUUUGAGUACUGGAGAGGAAAGUGGAAUUCCUAGUGUAGCGGUGAAAUGCGUAGAUAUUAGGAGGAAUACCAGUGGCGAAGGCGACUUUCUGGACAGUAACUGACGUUGAGGCACGAAAGUGUGGGGAGCAAACAGGAUUAGUAUCC